rnacentral:lncRNA from 1 species
GUAAAACCUGAAGAACCAGCAGGGAAAGAAAAACCUGAAGAGCCAACGGCUGGGGAAAAACCUGAAGAACCAGCAGCAAAUGAGGAACCUGAAAAAUCAGCGAUGAAAGAGAAACCUGAAGAACCAAUUGUUGAGGAGAAACUUGAAGAACCAACUGUUGAAGAGAAACCUGAAAAACCACUGAUUGAAGAAACACCUGAAGAACCAACAUGGGAAGAAACACCUAAAGAACUAGCAUUUGAAGAGAAACCAGAAGAACCAGCAGUUGAAGAGGAGAAACCUGAAAAGGUAACUCUUAUGGAAGAG